UAACCACUGGCGAUAUACGUGUAUGUUG
ncrna:unclassified sequences L19-Flavobacteria ribosomal protein leader